CUUUUUUUUUUGAAAUCAGCCAAUGGUUAAUGCAAGAGUUUGGCAGAUGCUUUACUAUUUAAAAAAAAAAAUUAAAAAUCCUCUAAAAUAACCAGAUCUUCUCAAGCCAGGGGACACCAAGACCCCCAAAUGGGUUUCCUCCAGCUUGCGGAUUAUUAAAAACCCGGCAUCUAGUUCGCCCGGAAUCAGUGGUGUGGCCGAUAUCGGUUUUCUGCCAGUUUAACUAGCCUGUUUGUGAAGCAUUACUUCAUAGCCAUUAUUGUCCCAGUAUCCACCUUCUCCCACCCAAACCACAGUCACCAGAAAUAUGGAGGAAGACUACCAUCUUUGAUGCAUCUGAAUCAGGCAAGAAAUGGCACAAUAGUGAGAAUUGCUCCGUAAGGCUGACUGGUAUUGGACUGGGAAAUUUAGCUAGAAGGUUUAACUAGAAUGCCUAGGGCCUCAGUCUUAGGGAAGGUACAGUCUAAAGGUACCUUGGAGAAUCUUCUCUUUCUCUCUAAUCUCUUAUCUAACAGAGACAGUAAAUCCCCCAUCUAACUCCCCAUCAUUCCUGCAGCCUCUACACUAGAACCUGAAUCACCAAGAAUCAACUAUAGCUUCCAAUAGGUUUUUAUUAUUAUAGAGUAAUUGUCUUCGUUGCAGCUCAUCUGGUAGACCAAGUACUUGUUGUUCCUCCCCUCCUCCCCAACAAAUAGGCACAAACUUUUAUUUGAACCCACCUUACUUGUCUUUUUUUUCAUCCCACCUACAUACAUGGAAGAGUUUCAAAAUGUGUUGGGAGGGGCUGAACAUUGUAAGAGGUUGGUCUUUGUAGAAUACUACUUAAAAAUCAGAUUCAAUCUUUAUAUUUUAAAGAAAAGCUGACACUUGUUUUGUGGGGGGGGUGGAGCUCCUUUUCUUGUAUUUAUGAUUCAAAGCAAAGCACUGUCUCUAUCUUAUGU